rnacentral:lncRNA from 1 species
AAAAAUGGAAAAAAAUAAAAGUUUUGGGGACCAAAGACUAUUUAUAGGCUUAAAUCUACCAUUAAGAAUUUAAAGCGAUUAAAAUCCAUUACCACUCAAUUUAAAUAGUCAUAUUAAUUUUCAUUAAAACCAUAAAAAUCAUACUCUUUUCAUAACCAAAAUCCCAUUAGUUAUGGACCAUAAUAAAAUUGGUUUUUAUUAUCAAUAAUUAUUGUUAUUAAAACAAACUUUAAAAAAAC